rnacentral:rRNA from 1 species
UACGUAGGUGGCAAGCGUUGUCCGGAUUUAUUGGGCGUAAAGAGCUCGUAGGCGGUGUGUCGCGUCGGCCGUGAAAACCUGCAGCUUAACUGUGGGCUUGCGGUCGAUACGGGCAUCACUGGAGUUCGGCAGGGGAGACUGGAAUUCCUGGUGUAGCGGUGAAAUGCGCAGAUAUCAGGAGGAACACCGGUGGCGAAGGCGGGUCUCUGGGCCGAUACUGACGCUGAGGUGCGAAAGCGUGGGGAUCAAACAGG